rnacentral:lncRNA from 10 species
GGCGGAAGAGAGCAGGGCCCUGGGCAGGUGCUGAGCCAGGUCCUGCAGGUCACCCAGUCGCUUGAGUCCACGAAUGCUGGAGGCAGGCACUGGAGAGCCAGGGUGGUUCAGCCGCAGCUCCUCUGAGCAGGGAGUCAAACAGGGCUGAAACAGACACCAGCUCUCCAGGACCAGCUGGUAAGAGCUUCUCCACUGCCCCCGAGCCCUGACAGGAGGACUCCCACAGUGUGCAUGGAAGCCCAGGGAGCUCGGGGGCUACAGAGGCACCAUUGGCUCUGGAGCCUGCAGCCCAGACAGCCCCCUCCAGAUGUAAUGGGGGAAGGAGCCAGGGACUGGGAGGAAUUCAGAGGUCAGAGGAGGAGCAGUAUCAGGAGAUACUGCCCUCCUGCAACUCCUCCUCCCAGCUGCUCUCCCCUCCUGCUAGUGCCCACAAUGGCUCCCAGCUGCCUCCUAUAAGGAAGCUUUAUUAGCCUGCAGCCUGUACUCCUCCACGCAGCAGAGCUGACAGGACCCCAUUAGUCAGCUUAUUCAACCCUUCCCCUGGUGCACAAACCCUUGCCAAGCUUUUCUGGCAUUUUGCUCAGCCUGCUUGGACCCUCCAAGCAGGUAGGAACUCACUGUUUCACAAAGCAGUGUUAUUAGAAAGGUUUCCCUGACCCUAGCCCCCCACAUCUAAUCUUUCUCAAAUGUGGGCAGACUUGUUCCUGGCCCCUUCUCAUUCCACCAGUGCACACAUGCACAUGCUCCCUCUCUCCAUCCAAGCUCCAGGAAUCAACCUCUACCCUGAACCAGGUCCCUGAGGACCACCACGUGGCUGCAACACAGCAGGUGUGGGGCAGGGCACAAGUGGGCUUAAGGGGGGUAUAAGGGCUGGCAGUUUGCUCAUUGAUUCACUCAACAAACAUGUACUGAGCACCUCUAAAGGGCCAGGGCCUGUGCUAGGCACUGCGGUGCCAUGGUGAGCAAAUCCAGAAAUGGACCCUGCCCUCUAGGAGUUCACAGUCCAGAGGAGAAGCCCGAUGCUGAACAGAGAAUCACAUCCGUGAGCAACACAAAAGGCAAGGCAAACCCUGGGCAGAUGCCCCCGGGACUGUGUGUUAUGGGCCUACAGGAAGCCUCUCCCAAUGAAAAAGCAAUUUUUCAGCCAGAACCUCCACCAGUGUCUUUCAAACUGAGCCUGGACCUGUGGCCUUCCCUGCCUCCACCUGGGCCUCAACCGUCACGACCACCUGGCCUUUGAGGUAGGGUUUGGAGAAGGAAGUCAGCCUAUUAUCAGGAGAAGGCUUGAAUUUCUAUAUUCAUAGCUUGUUUCUGUCACUUACUAGCCUUGUGAUCAUGGGCAACUUGUCUAAUCUCUGUCCCUCAGUUUCCUCCUUUGUAAAAUAGGUCUCAUAGAACUCAUCCCCAAAAGUCCUUGUGAAGAUUUAGUUUGUAAGCCAGAUGUCUGCAGACCUCCAGUAAAAGAAUAUGUUUUUGAAAUCAAAUGGCUCACGCUGUGUCUCAGAGCUGCAACGAUCCAACGCCCUCCAUCCUUCAGAGGCUGUCUGAGUCCGGGGACACAACUCCCACCCUCCUCUCCUGCCAGCCGCGGCCCGUGGCUGCUCUCUUCACUUCGUCCCGCUUCGCCCCGACUGUGGAUCUACCCGCUCCCUUCUCCCUCAGUCCCCAAAGCACCAGACUCACAGGCCUGCUGUGUGACCCACUUUUACCGACCUUUCGGGGAGAGUAGAGGGCAUUUGUGACUCAGCUCAGAGCAGGAAACACAUCUCACGUCAACUGUCAGACAGCGCUGCUCCGAAUCCCAUCACAGUGCUCCAGCAGGGGGCGUCCUCACCGGCCGCGGCCACAGCCACGGCUCAACCCGGCCUAGCUCCCAGACACCCUCCUUCCACCGCCUGUUUUCCACCGUCCCCGCCUGCUCUUUCAAGCCAGCAGCAAACAACACCCUAAUCCGUGUCUUUAUUAUUCAAAGACCUUAAGCACUCUUUCCCACCUCGUUCCCAUCUUGAUUAUUUCAGGGAAUGAAUUAGGGAUUCACCUUUACAAUCAAAAAAGUUCUCUCAAAGCCAGGCUACUGGAGUUCUAAUUCUGCCUUCCCACUUUUACUAGCUGUGAAAUCUCAGGAAAGUUACUUAACCUCUCUCUGUCUCAUUUUCCUCAUCUUUAAAAAACAGGAUGAUAAUAUUUAGCUCCUAAGAUGGUUGUGAGGAUUUAAGUGAGCUGAUAUAUCCAAGAAUGUCUAGAACAGCGCGUGGCAGAAUGGGCAUUGCAUAUGGGUUUAAUCUUGUAACUGCCAUGUUUCACCAAUUCUAAGGUGUAUCUCGUUUCUCAUCAUAAGAGCUCUUCCGCUCGUGUGGCAGCUGGGAGUGGCCGUCAUUGCCUGCGCAUACCUAAACUUGGUCAGCAGCCAAGUGUUUUGUGAGACCUAAGAAAGGAAGAGCCCCAUAAGUAAAUGGAACUGUUGUGUUGUUUUAUUACCGAGAAAAGGGCAGAAUGAUUGCUAGUCACACGUGAAGCAAGAAAACCCCGGCAAUAAAGCUUGCAGAAUGAGUGGCUGAGGCUUGAAAAUAAAUGGUGGAAACAAUAGUGGACAAUCUUUUAAAGAAUGGCACAUUGCCAAUGCUCCUGAUGGCACAGAAGGUGACACCAUGCAGAAAAUCAAGGCUCUGAGUCAAAGAGGGUUUCAGAAAAAUUGGACUCUGAAUGUGAAGAAAUCUGGGGACUAUUUUAGCCAAUUUGUUUUGCCUAUAAUUUCCUUUUAUGCAUGCAAAAGAGCAAUUCUGACUUUAAAGACUGAUAUCUAAAUAAAUCUAAAAUAUCUUUUUUGUGUGUGUGUCUGUGAUACAGUGUCUCGCCCUUUCACCCAGGCUGGAGUGCAGUAGUGCAAUCUCAGCUCACU